AUUUAAAGGUCCCAUUAUGGGUAAUAGAAAAGAACAUGAAAAAGUCUAUACCUUUUUUUUUCUCCUGCCAUUUUCCAAAAGUUCAUCUUCAAAAGGCACAACUGUAAUGCCUUCUGCAUUGAGACAUGUCUACAAUAAACAUGGUCCAACUGGAUUACCAACUGCACCAUAGACACAGUACCUGAAUUAAAUAGCAGAAGAUAAGAGACUUGAAUAUUUGUAGCCUUUGAACAUAUUCUUCUGAGAUAGGACAUUCUUUGUUCCCUAAACUUGUAUGGGACAUUAGAGUUUCCUACCCAGUAUGUCCCAGUGCUCAAACUAUUUUUUAUUAUCUUCAGAGUUUUUCUUUCUGUCUUAAUUAAAAGAGUAGUUUUUACAGAGCUACAGAAUAAAUAAAACUCU
rnacentral:lncRNA from 10 species